rnacentral:tRNA from 1 species
GCGGGCAUGGUGUAACGGUAACACAUCAGCCUUCCAAGCUGUUGUUACGGGUUCGAGUCCCGUUGCCCGCU